CUGCAGUAUUCUAUCAGACACACAGUUCUACCAGGAGACAGAUGUGAGAGGAGACCGUGUCAUGUGUGGAUACCAGGAGGUGUCUCAAAUCAGCACGAAAGCAUUGUCAUUUUUGUGCAUGGAACUGCCUCACUGGCCCUAUUUGAUUGGUCCAGGAAUGUCAAACCGGCUCAAGAUAAGCUAUUUAACCCCAGUGACAGUUGAUUGAUCCAUAAUGUGACACAGGUAGAUCAAUUAUAACCAUUUCUUUGAAUACUUGAACUUGGAACCACUAGGAGUAAAAAGGGGCUCCUCUUUGGGAAUAAAAGUUAUGAGAAAUGAA